rnacentral:lncRNA from 1 species
UAUAGGUGAAAAUGGUGAUCCCAAAGCCUUCUUAAUAGAGAUUUCCUGGACAGAAACAUAUCCCCAAACACCUCCAAUUAUAUCUAUGAACGCUUUUUUUUUUUUUUAACAACACCAUAUCAUCAGCUGUAAAGCAGAGUUAUAGGAAGUUACAGGAAGCUGUGGAAGUGAAUCUUGGAACUGCUAUGACCUAUACAUUGUUUGAAUAUGCCAAAGACAAUAAAGAGCAGUUCAUGGAGAAUCAUUGUCCCACUGAUUCUACAAUGUCUAAAAGCAAUAUCAUCUCUGUUGAAACUCCUAAUACAGCUCCAUCAAAUAAGAAAAAUGACAAAAAAAGGACAACUUUCUAAAGCCCAGAAACGUAAACUGGCAGACAAAACAGAUCAUAAAGGGGAACUCCCUCGAGGCUGGAAUUGGGUUGAUGUCUUGAAGCUUUUAAGCAAAACUGGCUCUAAAGAUGAUGAAUAACACUUGGAAUUUGAGUCAAGGAAAGAGCAUCCUUUAAAAAGUAAACUGGGUUCAACAUCUUUCAUUAACUAUUUUCUGGUAUUGAGGUGACUUUUUAUAAAAUGUAGGUUUUUCGGUAUGUUUCUUACAUUAAAAAAUGUUGUCAGUGGAAAGUUCAUGAAAAGAUCUGGGUGUAUUACAUUAUUUUCACAAACUUGCC